CAUAAAGGAAAUUACCUCUACUACUAAAUUACUACUAGAUUAUAGUGAUAAGGAAAACAGCAUACAAAUGUGGCUUGUGUAUUAAUUUGCCUUUAACUAAUCAGAAUUCCAUUAUUUUUACAUAAAAAAAGUGAACACUUCAAAAUGAGAAGAUCCUGCCAUGGAAAAGACGACUGGGUGGACAUAAAGUGGAAAGGAGGGGAAAUAACUCCCAGCAUGCAGCAGGACACCUUCAGCUGCUUGGUCUUUGUAAUGCAGGUUUGAUAGUUAUAUUUUCAAUAAUUAAUGGUUAGCUGUUAUGUGACAAUUAGGUCAAAAACUCUAUUUCAUUUUUUUGGUGUAGAUGGCCAAGGAAGUUGCACAGAACUUCCCCAACAUCCCUUCUCAAAUUCAUAUGGAACCUUCAAAAACAUAUGGAGCAACUGCAAAAAGAAAUGGCUGAGGAUAUACUAAAAAUGUCUGAGUUCAACAAAGCCAACAACUGCCUCAUGGGUGCCACUGAUAAAGAACCUGGAUGUGGCCCAAAGACUGACUGGGUUAGUAACUUUAUUUAACAUGUUUAUAAUCUUUUGACAACAGUGACGGCAUGUAAGACAAUUUAUGAUAUAACACAAUGGACGGCUAAUUUGUCAUUCGUCAUGCUGCAAUGAUAUUAUUUAUAACCUGUUACUCUUUGCUUUGUUUUGAUUGGAUGUUUUGCAUGCCAACGGUGGUUCCAUGUGCUGUGCCUAGGAAUGAAGACAAAAGCGUUCAACAGAGUAAACAACACAAACUGUCAGUGCAGUCUUUGUUGUAAAUGUAUGCUAUGCCCCAUCCACACUGAAGAGGCUCUGACAUGUACAUCAACCAGGGAUAAAGAGAAAGUUAACACUGUGAAAUGCUUCAUACUUAAUUAAAGUUGUGUCUGUUGACAUGUU